GCCCGCUUGGCUCACCGGUAGAGCGCCUCACUAGUAUAGGAUACAACCUAGAAGUGAUGAGGAGGCAACUGGUUCGACUCCAGUAGUGGGCA